rnacentral:rRNA from 1 species
AGACCCGAAACCCGGUGAUCUAGCCAUGGGCAGGUUGAAGGUUGGGUAACACUAACUGGAGGACCGAACCGACUAAUGUUGAAAAAUUAGCGGAUGACCUGUGGCUGGGGGUGAAAGGCCAAUCAAACCGGGAGAUAGCUGGUUCUCCCCGAAAGCUAUUUAGGUAGCGCCUCGUGAAUUCAUCUCCGGGGGUAGAGCACUGUUUCGGCUAGGGGGCCAUCCCGGCUUACCAACCCGAUGCAAACUGCGAAUACCGGAGAAUGUUAUCACGGGAGACACACGGCGGGUGCUAACGUCCGUCGUGAAGAGGGAAACAACCCAGACCGCCAGCUAAGGUCCCAAAGUCAUGGUUAAGUGGGAAACGAUGUGGGAAGGCCCAGACAGCCAGGAUGUUGGCUUAGAAGCAGCCAUCAUUUAAAGAAAGCGUAAUAGCUCACUGGUCGAGUCGGCCUGCGCGGAAGAUGUAACGGGGCUAAACCAUGCACCGAAGCUGCGGCAGCGAACGUAUCACCCAAGACAACUUUGCGGAGUUGACGAUUGACGGAGCGAAGCGACGUCAAAGCGUUCAUUAAAGUCGAGUUGGCUUAGGGAUACGUUCGUUGGGUAGGGGAGCGUUCUGUAAGCCUGUGAAGGUGGCCUGUGAGGGUUGCUGGAGGUAUCAGAAGUGCGAAUGCUGACAUAAGUAACGAUAAAGCGGGUGAAAAGCCCGCUCGCCGGAAGACCAAGGGUUCCUGUCCAACGUUAAUCGGGGCAGGGUGAGUCGACCCCUAAGGCGAGGCCGAAAGGCGUAGUCGAUGGGAAACGGGUUAAUAUUCCCGUACUUGGUGUUACUGCGAAGGGGGGACGGAGAAGGCUAUGUUGGCCGGGCGACGGUUGUCCCGGUUUAAGCGUGUAGGUGUGUGUUCCAGGUAAAUCCGGUUCACUUUAACACUGAGGCGUGACGACGAGGCACUACGGUGCUGAAGCAACAAAUGCCCUGCUUCCAGGAAAAGCCUCUAAGCAUCAGGUAACAUCAAAUCGUACCCCAAACCGACACAGGUGGUCAGGUAGAGAAUACCAAGGCGCUUGAGAGAACUCGGGUGAAGGAACUAGGCAAAAUGGUGCCGUAACUUCGGGAGAAGGCACGCUGAUAUGUAGGUGAAGCGGUUUACCCGUGGAGCUGAAAUCAGUCGAAGAUACCAGCUGGCUGCAACUGUUUAUUAAAAACACAGCACUGUGCAAACACGAAAGUGGACGUAUACGGUGUGACGCCUGCCCGGUGCCGGAAGGUUAAUUGAUGGGGUCAGCGCAAGCGAAGCUCCUGAUCGAAGCCCCGGUAAACGGCGGCCGUAACUAUAACGGUCCUAAGGUAGCGAAAUUCCUUGUCGGGUAAGUUCCGACCUGCACGAAUGGCGUAAUGAUGGCCAGGCUGUCUCCACCCGAGACUCAGUGAAAUUGAACUCGCUGUGAAGAUGCAGUGUACCCGCGGCAAGACGGAAAGACCCCGUGAACCUUUACUAUAGCUUGACACUGAACAUUGAGCCUUGAUGUGUAGGAUAGGUGGGAGGCUUUGAAGCGUGGACGCCAGUCUGCGUGGAGCCGACCUUGAAAUACCACCCUUUAAUGUUUGAUGUUCUAACGUGGACCCGUAA